AUUGGCUUUGGUCUAGUGGUAGAAUACAACGUUGCCAUAGUUGUGACCCGAGUUCGAUCCUCGGAUAAUG
rnacentral:tRNA from 1 species